UAUUGCACAAUGGGGGAAACCCUGAUGCAGCAACGCCGCGUGAGUGAAGAAGUAUAUCGGUAUGUAAAGCUCUCUCAGCAGGGAAGAAAAUGACGGUACCUGAGUAAGAAGCCCCGGCUAACUAAGAGACAGCAGCCGCGGUAAUACGUAGGGGGCAAGCGUUAUCCGGAUUUACCGGGUGUAAAGGGAGCGUAGACGGCGAUGCAAGUCUGAAGUGAAAGCCCGGGGCUCAACCCCGGGACUGCUUUGGAAACUGUAUGGCUGGAGUGCUGGAGAGGCAAGCGGAAUUCCUAGUGUAGCGGUGAAAUGCGUGGAUAUUAGGAAGAACACCAGUGGCGAAGGCGGCUUGCUGGACAGUAACUGACGUUGAGGCUCGAAAGCGUGGGGAGCAAACAGG
rnacentral:rRNA from 1 species